AUGGUGGGUUUCUAGUAACAAUCCUAGGUCAGGAUUCAAACAAGAAAAACAAGAACUUAAGAGCCCUACUCGAUCAUUGGGUCGAGUAGAACCAACAAGUGACAAAUUUAAGUAACUAAAAUGUAAUCAAAAGGGGAUACAAAUAACAGGUAAAUAAAAGUGCAAUCAACAGGGGAUACAAAUAAAUCUAAUAGAAGUCCUAAGGAUGGAUUCAUUGAUAAGGGCAACUCUAGGGUUCAUCAUGUGGCUAACAGGUGAAAGGUAGAUACCCUUGACGAUAGAUUCAAAAACUGAGUCAAUCAACUAUCGUGACAGAGACCCCCAUAACUCUACCACUUCCUAAUCUCAACUGUCGUUGAUGAAACAUAGCAGACCAGGGUUUACGCAACAAUCUACCAAAGCCAAUAAGCAGACAAACCAAUGUCUUGGUCUAGUCUAUAAAUCUCUGGAAUUCGUAGAUCAGACAUCCAUUUGAACGUCUUUUGGACGCUGGACGUCUAUGAUCGAAUCUCCACAUUAGCCAGCGAAAACCGCAUAGGGGCCAAGUGAAUCCAGAAGGGUUCUAACCUAAUCUUAACCACCUGACUAACCUAGAUAUUAAUUACCCUAAUCUAAUCCAUCCUCAAGAACCCUAAUCGCUACUCAAGCAACAUUCUCAAGAACACAAACCCAGAAAUUACUGAAAUCAUACCAAAAUGUAGAUCUAAACAAGCUAAACAACUUUACUUAAAGAACUAAAUGCAAAAACGAAAUAGUUUAAGAGUAAUUAAGUUUUGAAGAUUCAUAAACACAAAGAAAAACUAAAGGAUAAAAGCUAGAUCCUUUGGACAAAUCCCAAAGUGAUCUAUUUAUAGUAAAAUGUUAAAACCUUAUAUUCACUAGAAGAAAAGAGAGUUGAGGCGGUUUGGGCGAAUGCUCGAUCUUGGGGAUCGAGUAAUGAGGGUGCUGCAAAGUCUGCUCCUUUGUGUCUAUGUUCCGAGUGAUCAAUUGGUCGAGUAGAUGCUUCUUCCUCUCCUAUCUAUAUGCUAAGAUGUCUGGUUGAGUGGGGAAUGAGGAGGAUCAAAAAGCUGCCUUGAUCGAGUAAGAGGGUCGAGUGAAUUGCUGCCUCCUCUGUGGCUGCCUAGAUCGAGUGAAUGGAUCGAGUAGAAUGCUUUGCUUCUUCCCUCCUGGUUGGAUAGAGUAAAGGGUCGAGUAGAGUCCUUUUAACCUCCUUCUGCACCUGAAAACACACCAAAACAUGCAAUGUGUAUGCAAGAUGAUCCUAAAUGCCUAAGUAUGCAAAAUAAGCUAAAAUGGUGCAAAAUGAUAUUAUACAUUGAGCAAAUGCAAAUCUAAAUGAUG
rnacentral:sRNA from 1 species